CCAGUGAGGGAAUUAAGGAUGGCACGUUCUCCUUGUAACGGGGAUCCAGCAGGGUGCCCACCCAGUAAUCAGCACAAGUUAGAAUGUGAGCAACUCGACAGUCGUUGCACAGGCACUUUGGUGACUCUAGAUAACCUCGGGCCGAUCGCAAAUCCCCGUGAUGGCUACAAAGCAUUCUGAUGUCUGCCCUAUCAUCUUUCAAUGAUACUUUCUGUGCCUACCAUGCUGACCACAGGUAACGGGGAAUCAGGGUUCGAUUCCG